ACUGCUCCAAGGCCGCGAUGCUCGUUACACACAGAAUGGGAACCAUUCCUGUUCACGAGCGGGAAGGUCUGAGUGUUCUUGCUUCUUUCGACUGUGCACCCGGGCGUUCCGCACUGGGACCAUGCCAGAUAUUCCUUCCUUCCUUCCCUUAGCGAGGGCCGACAUCAACCAUGUCGAAGGACGUACCAGAAAUCCACCACAUCCGUUGCCUUACUUCUUUUGAUGACAAGGUUCUAAGACCUACGAGAGAAGGAUCGAUGGUUGGAAAAGCAUCCCAGAAACAGAAUGUGUUUAUCCUAUUCCAUGACGUUCAUUACCGCUAGCGCGUUGGUGUAUUCACCGAGUCCACCAACGCAUGUGGAGGUUUCCUUGAUCAAGUCGAGUCUAACGCUAUCAACUUGUGAUUGUACGGACGAUGCAAUUGCAAGCGAGGGCGAAUCGAUAUUGGGAUAUCCUUACGUGUAUUUCCACCGGUUAGGUCAGAGAAAUCCGACCGUGCACAUCAGCAGGAAAUUGGAGGAUACAUGUCUUCAACAUCCCCUCGAAGGUGCUCGUCACCCAUUCAAUCAGAAGCUGGCAUAAGCAUCCUUCCCUAGUACUGCCGAUGUUAGGCUCUAGGUCUUGGCCUCUUAUCUGUCGGUGAACGGCAUGCUUUGCCCGGAUGACCUUACUUGGUUCGGAUAAAUGCGUUCCUUAAUGCAAUUUGCGGCGCGUGUGCUUUGCAUGCGAAACUCAACUCAGACUAUUCUGGGGCAGU
rnacentral:RNase_P_RNA from 2 species